UUAAUUCUACUUCAUCAAUUUUGGAUCUACACUGUAAAUCUUUUUAUCACGAUGUGGUAUUUUCAAAUGAACCUUAAAAGGAAUUGUUCCUCUCGCUAUCCAUUGCUACCUCCGUGGAGUAUUUGGACGUUGGAGAACAACAUUU
rnacentral:snoRNA from 1 species